rnacentral:misc_RNA from 1 species
UUUGUCUAUUCUUUUCCCUUGCUCCAUCACCAUCCUUCUCUGGUUCUCCCUCUUGCCCUCCCAAGAUUGGCAGUAGCACAGUCACUGCCAUCUCCCUUCUCGGUUCUUGCCUUAUGCUUCCGAUGGCUAUUAUAAUUGAAGCUUUGUGUUAGUUGAAUAAUGGGUUAUUAAUUUGUUAUGUUGAUGGUUCAAUUUCAAGGUUUAUCUUUCUGCAAUUUGCUGGGUAUUUAAUUUAUGGAUUGACAUUUUAGCUUUUGUUGGGUAAUGGAUAUUAUACUUAUCUAUUGCUUGAUUCAAGUUUAGGUUUAAUGGGCUCCUCCUCGCCUCUGCUAUUAAUUCUGUCAGUGGGUAUGCCAACAUGUUGA